GAUGAACGCUAGCUACAGGCUUAACACAUGCAAGUCGAGGGGAAACGAUAUUGGAAGCUUGCUUCCGAUAGGCGUCGACCGGCGCACGGGUGAGUAACGCGUAUCCAACCUGCCCAUCACUUGGGAAUAACCUUGCGAAAGUAAGACUAAUGCCCAAUGACAUUUAUGGAAAGCAUCCGAAAUGAGAUAAAGAUUUAUCGGUGAUGGUUGGGGAUGCGUCUGAUUAGCUUGGUGGCGGGGUAACGGCCCACCAAGGCGACGAUCAGUAGGGGUUCUGAGAGGCAGGUCCCCCACAUUGGAACUGAGACACGGUCCAAACUCCUACGGGAGGCAGCAGUGAGUAAUAUGGGUCAAUGGGCGAGAGCCUGAACCAGCCAAGUAGCGUGCAGGAUGACGGCCCUAUGGGUUGUAAACUGCUUUUAUAAGGGAAUAAAGUGAGUCACGUGUGACUUUUUGCAUGUACCUUAUGAAUAAGGACCGGCUAAUUCCGUGCCAGCCGCCGCAGUAA
rnacentral:rRNA from 1 species